rnacentral:lncRNA from 1 species
UGUUCCCUUGUUUCUUUCCAGGAUCUACAGUCUUGGGAUCCAGCCAGUCAUGAUUUUCUCCACCUAGCUUUAAGCCUAUGGGCUUUCAAGGUGUCCUCCCUGCACCAGAAGCCCCUCUGUGCAUUCACCCCAGACUGUGGUUACCAUCGAAGCCAAGAAGGACUGACAGACCUUCUCGGGAAAACCUUCAGUAAGAGGAGCCCACCGCCUCCUGAAGAAACCUAUCGUGAGGUGAGUUGAAACUCCUCGACUAGCCU